GACGAACGCUGGCGGCGUGCCUAAUACAUGCAAGUCGAGCGCACAGAUGAGGAGCUUGCUCUUCUGGGGUUAGUUGCGGACGGGUGAGUAACGCGUGGAUAACCUGCCUUUUAGACUGGGAUAACUAUGGGAAACCGGAGCUAAUACCGGAUAACAUUUUGUGACACAUGGUUCAUUAUUGAAAGACGGUAUUGCUGUACCUUAUAGUUGGCUCCGCGUUGCUUAAGCUAGUUGUUAAGGUAACGGCUAACCAAGGGAACGAUGCUUAGCCGACCUGAGAGGGGGAUCGGCCACACGGGAACGGAGACACGGUCCAGACUCCUACGGGAGGCAGCAGUAGGGAAUCUUCCGCAAUGGGCGAAAGCCUGACGGAGCAACGCCGCGUGAGUGAUGAAGGUCUUCGGAUCGUAAAACUCUGUUAUUAGGGAAGAACAAAUGUGUAAGUAACUAUGCACGUCUUGACGGUACCUAAUCAGAAAGCCACGGCUAACUACGUG
rnacentral:rRNA from 1 species